rnacentral:lncRNA from 7 species
AGCAUUGAGAACUCCCUCUGGUUGGAUUCCCAAACUGCUCUGCAGGUUGCUGGCUACAGCAGACUACCAAAACAAAUCUCUUACCAUGAUCAAGGUCAGAGCCAGGCAAAAAAGAAAACUUGAUGUGAAGUCUCUGUGUAGCAAUGUGUCUGAUUGCUUCGAAUCUUGUGUGAUCGUCUUUGUUGAUUUCAAAAUGAGCUUAGAGCUGGCAGUGCAGUGAAGAUGUACAGGGAUUGGAAGACUUAAGCUGAAGAAAGAGCAAAUUUGACAUCUGACAGAAGCUCUCCUUCUAAGAAAAUGAUACUGUCUUCCUGUGCCGCUUCAAUUAAAUACAUAUACAGCUGUAGAUAGCUCUGUUUUGGUACAGUUAUGCCGUUGGGAGGGUGCACAUCCUGCACUUAAAGCUCAAUUCAUUAAUGACAAUCAUAUCACUUCCUGCAGUUUCUCUUCUCCAAUACCUUUUUGUGUUAAUUUAUUGAUUAGAUCAAAUUAAAUCCUUCACUGGAUUUAAUGGAUCGUGCAUCAGAUGAGCAUUGUCUUGCACACAUUUUUACAAAUGGAAUUUAAUAGGAAUGAUCUAUAAUAAAUCCUUUGUGGUAUAUGUGACU